rnacentral:rRNA from 1 species
AAGACCUUGCGCUUUUGGAGCGGCCGAUGUCUGAUUAGCUUGUUGGUGAGGUAAAAGCUUACCAAGGCUUCGAUCAGUAGCUGGUCUGAGAGGACGGCCAGCCACACUGGGACUGAGACACGGCCCAGACUCCUACGGGAGGCAGCAGUGGGGAAUUUUGGACAAUGGGGGCAACCCUGAUCCAGCCAUGCCGCGUGAGUGAAGAAGGCCUUCGGGCUGUAAAGCUCUUUCAGCCGGAACGAAACGGUUACGGUUAAUACCCGUGACUACUGACGGUACCGGAAGAAGAAGCACCGGCUAACUACGUGCCAGCAGCCGCGGUAAUACGUAGGGUGCAAGCGUUAAUCGGAAUUACUGGGCGUAAAGCGUGCGCAGGUGGUUUUGUAAGUCAGAUGUGAAAUCCCCGGGCUUAACCUGGGAACU